UACGUAGGUGGCAAGCGUUGUCCGGAUUUACUGGGCGUAAAGAGCGCGCAGGCGGUCGUUCAAGUCGCGUGUGAAAGCCCCCGGCUCAACUGGGGAGGGUCACGCGAUACUGAUCGACUCGAAGGCAGGAGAGGGAAGUGGAAUUCCCGGUGUAGUGGUGAAAUGCGUAGAUAUCGGGAGGAACACCAGAGGCGAAGGCGGCGACCUGGACAAGUACUGACACUCAACUACGAAAGCGUGGGGAGCAAACAGG
rnacentral:rRNA from 1 species